AUUGAACGCUGGCGGCAUGCCUUACACAUGCAAGUCGAACGGUAGAAGGAGCAAUCCUUCGAGAGUGGCGAACGGGUGAGUAAUACAUCGGAACGUACCUGGUAGUGGGGGAUAGCCCGGCGAAAGCCGGAUUAAUACCGCAUAAGACCUGAGGGUGAAAGCGGGGGACCGUAAGGCCUCGCGCUACCGGAGCGGCCGAUGUCAGAUUAGCUAGUUGGUGGGGUAAAAGCCUACCAAGGCGACGAUCUGUAGCUGGUCUGAGAGGACGACCAGCCACACUGGGACUGAGACACGGCCCAGACUCCUACGGGAGGCAGCAGUGGGGAAUUUUGGACAAUGGGCGCAAGCCUGAUCCAGCCAUGCCGCGUGCGGGAAGAAGGCCUCGGUUGUAACGACUAGUCAGAGGGAGUGAAAGUAG
rnacentral:rRNA from 1 species